rnacentral:rRNA from 1 species
GAAGGAUCAUUACCGAGUUGAUUCGGGCUCCGGCCCGAUCCUCCCACCCUUUGUGUACCUACCUCUGUUGCUUUGGCGGGCCGCGGUUCUCCGCGGCCGCCCCCCUCCCCGGGGGGUGGCCAGCGCCCGCCAGAGGACCAUCAAACUCCAGUCAGUAAACGAUGCAGUCUGAAAAACAUUUAAUAAACUAAAACUUUCAACAACGGAUCUCUUGGUUCUGGCAUCGAUGAAGAACGCAGCGAAAUGCGAUAAGUAAUGUGAAUUGCAGAAUUCAGUGAAUCAUCGAAUCUUUGAACGCACAUUGCGCCCUUUGGUAUUCCGAAGGGCAUGCCUGUUCGAGCGUCAUUACAACCCUCAAGCUCUGCUUGGUAUUGGGCACCGUCCUUUGCGGGCGCGCCUCAAAGACCUCGGCGGUGGCGUCUUGCCUCAAGCGUAGUAGAACAUACAUCUCGCUUCGGAGCGCAGGGCGUCGCCCGCCGGACGAACCUUCUGAACUUUUCUCAAGGUUGACCUCGGAUCAGGUAGGGAUACCCGCUGAACUUAA